rnacentral:rRNA from 1 species
UACGUAGGGUGCGAGCGUUAAUCGGAAUUACUGGGCGUAAAGCGUGCGUAGGCGGUCCCGCAAGUCCGCUGUGAAAGCCCCGAGCUUAACUUGGGAACUGCAGUGGAAACUAUGGGACUUGAAUCCGGCAGAGGGGGGUGGAAUGCCACGUGUAGCAGUGAAAUGCGUAGAGAUGUGGCGGAACACCGAUGGCGAAGGCAGCCCCCUGGGCUGAGAUUGACGCUCAGGCACGAAAGCGUGGGGAGCGAACAGG